UGAACAAUAGGAACUUUACUGAGUUGUCACUAAGGAAAGAGCAAAAUCUAAGAUAGGUAGUUUCUGGAAAAUGAAAGUCCAGAGAAACUUGGCCAUAAAAUGAAAAUUAUAACGGACUUACAGAGCUCGUCUUCUUUGGGUUAAGAAACAAAGGUCUUCUUGUGCAAAGGAAGAAUUCGAAAGAGGAAUUCUUAAGUAGAUGGCUGAUGCAUCCACGUCUAAACAUCCAAAAUCUACCAAGCACCUAUUACAUAACUAAGCCCUGUGUCAGAGGCUGUGGAACAAGAACCACUAAAACUUAUCUCUGACCUCAAGAAGUUUAUAGUUCAGGGAAGUGACUGACAAUCAUAAUACAGAGGCAUAAGGGCUAUCCAAAUAGGGUCACAGGUUACGCUAUGAAUACAGGUAUCACAUCAGAAAAUUACCGUACUUAAAAUCUCAGCAAAGAGAUCACACCCUCACACAAUUAAUGUUAUCAACAUCCAUCCAGUCUCUCAAGCUCACCCUCUUCAACAAUCUUUGCUUUACUGAGUUCCGGGUGGACUAUUUAAAUAUCAUACAAAUUGAUUCUGACAUCACAAUCACUGCCUGCUUCCUAAAACUUGCCCUCCACCGUCUAUUAUAAAUGCUUUCCAAUCAGUGCUCCCAUUCUUCAUUCUAUUCACCACUUAGUUACUAGAAUGUUUUUCUCAACUAUGAAUCUGACUUCACUCCCUUUCUUGAAAACCUCCUGUAGUUCCUGUUGUGUACGGGAUAAAGGUGCUUACCAUGGGGCUGCGCAGGUGGAAAGCAGCCCAGUCUUACUAUGAGGAUGUCCGUUUGCCAUCUGGGAACAAGGAGGAAGAAGCAGAGACCUGGGCAAGACCUCAGAGAAUAAAUUAUCUCAAUGGCUACUUACAUGGUCCAGCAUAGCAGAAAAAAAAGCCACACUGAGCAAGCAGUGGUCCUUUCCAUGCUACACAAGCAAGAAAUGCCUAUAAAGACAGACUUGAGUGCAGUCUAAAGAAUCUUUUGCUUUGCCUUAACACUCUACUUCUGGAUAUCCUUGCUCAAAAAGAAGUCUACUCAAGACAGGGAGGUUCCUGUGGACAGAAACAUCUGCUUCCUGCUUAUCCUGUAUCUCAGCAUCUGAAUGGUCAUGACUGGAACACAGGCAGACUUCAGAAAUAAAUACAUAAAUAUCUCAUACUCCUCGAAUCUUUUAGAAAAAGAGUGUGGGUAACAAUAAACAUAUCUGCUGAGAAAUGACCACCUCACUCUACUCUUCUGCAGACUUCCCAUUCUGUGCCGAGUCACCCUCAGUAGGCCUAAGUGUGACGAUCCUCUCAGCACUCCCUGUAAACCUAUUUAGGAAUCCGCGAAAGAAAGAGAAGACCACCAGGCAGACUGGUGAUGAUAUUUCUUGGGGAGGCUGUGCAGUUUUUCAUAGUGAAGCCUACAACUUAGAUUUUCAGCACUAAUAGAACCCCAUUAUCAGGAGGAGAGAAAAGCACUAAUUUCAGAUGGGCUCUGACAGGGGACAGUUUUAAGAAUUUAUAGAGAGACAUUUCCGUGUCCAGCCAGGAUGUAAUCAUGGAAAUUGGAUUUACCUUCCCAUCCAUGUGUAACACCAACAUCCAGUGGUUUUUCAUGAUACUGAACAAAGGCAGCAAUCACUGAGAGACUGGGAAAUAAACAAAAGGACUGCCCCAAUUUAUUAAGAAAGCUUCCAGACCACAAUGAAGGUAGGUGGUGUGGAGUCCUGACAAGGUAAGUUAGCACCAACAAGGAAGAGGCCAGCCCCCGAUGGGGGAGAACAAUUGUUCUGAGAGACAGCUAAUCACAAACAACCUGCUUGUACAACAUCCUGUUCCCAAAUACCUUGCUCUGCAUAUACCCCAGCAGCACAAUCCUCUCUGCACAUAACCCCUCCAGCAUGGCCCUAGAAAACUUCCUUUCAGCCCCUGCCUCUUGGCAGACAGCCUCUUCUCUGCUGUGCCGGCCAUUGCUUCCCGCUAAUAAACUUGUUCUCGUUUUUGUUGUUGUUGUUUCGAGAUGAAGUUUCACUCUGUCGCCAGGCUGGAGUGCUGUGGUGUGAUCUCGGCUCACUGCAACCUCUGCCUACCAGGUUCAAGCAAAUCUUGUGCCUCCGUUUCCCGAGGAGCUUGGGAUUACAGGCGCCCGCCACCACGCCCGGCUCAUUUUUGUAUUUUUAGUAGAGACGGGGUUUCACCAUGUUGGCCAGGCUGGUCUCGAUCUCUUGACCUCGUGAUCUGCCCACCUCGGCCUCCCAAAGUACUAGGAUUACAGGCGUGAGCCUCCGCACCCGGCCUAAACUUGGUUUUAACUCGCACCUGUUUCAGUAAAUUAUUUACUUCCCGUGAAGCCAGCCUUAGCCAGUCACGCUCACAACAAGUAGAAGCCAGGCGGAGCCUGAAGGAGGCCCUGAGUUAAGGUGACAAAG
rnacentral:lncRNA from 1 species